rnacentral:rRNA from 1 species
GUUAUAUGGUCAAGUGAAGAAGCGCAUACGGUGGAUGCCUUGGCAGUCAGAGGCGAUGAAAGACGUGGUAGCCUGCGAAAAGCUUCGGGGAGUCGGCAAACAGACUUUGAUCCGGAGAUCUCUGAAUGGGGGAACCCACCUAGGAUAACCUAGGUAUCUUGUACUGAAUCCAUAGGUGCAAGAGGCGAACCAGGGGAACUGAAACAUCUAAGUACCCUGAGGAAAAGAAAUCAACCGAGAUUCCCUUAGUAGUGGCGAGCGAACGGGGAUUAGCCCUUAAGCUUCAUUGAUUUUAGCGGAACGCUCUGGAAAGUGCGGCCAUAGUGGGUGAUAGCCCCGUACGCGAAAGGAUCUUUGAAGUGAAAUCGAGUAGGACGGAGCACGAGAAACUUUGUCUGAACAUGGGGGGACCAUCCUCCAAGGCUAAAUACUACUGACUGACCGAUAGUGAACCAGUACCGUGAGGGAAAGGCGAAAAGAACCCCGGAGAGGGGAGUGAAAUAGAACCUGAAACCGUAUGCGUACAAGCAGUGGGAGCCUACUUGUUAGGUGACUGCGUACCUUUUGUAUAAUGGGUCAGCGACUUAUAUUCAGUGGCAAGCUUAACCGUAUAGGGUAGGCGUAGCGAAAGCGAGUCUUAAUAGGGCGUUUAGUCGCUGGGUAUAGACCCGAAACCGGGCGAUCUAUCCAUGAGCAGGUUGAAGGUUAGGUAACACUGACUGGAGGACCGAACCCACUCCCGUUGAAAAGGUAGGGGAUGACUUGUGGAUCGGAGUGAAAGGCUAAUCAAGCUCGGAGAUAGCUGGUUCUCCUCGAAAGCUAUUUAGGUAGCGCCUCAUGUAUCACUCUGGGGGGUAGAGCACUGUUUCGGCUAGGGGGUCAUCCCGACUUACCAAACCGAUGCAAACUCCGAAUACCCAGAAGUGCCGAGCAUGGGAGACACACGGCGGGUGCUAACGUCCGUCGUGAAAAGGGAAACAACCCAGACCGCCAGCUAAGGUCCCAAAGUUGUGGUUAAGUGGUAAACGAUGUGGGAAGGCUUAGACAGCUAGGAGGUUGGCUUAGAAGCAGCCAUCCUUUAAAGAAAGCGUAAUAGCUCACUAGUCGAGUCGGCCUGCGCGGAAGAUGUAACGGGGCUCAAACCACACACCGAAGCUGCGGGUGUCACGUAAGUGACGCGGUAGAGGAGCGUUCUGUAAGCCUGUGAAGGUGAGUUGAGAAGCUUGCUGGAGGUAUCAGAAGUGCGAAUGCUGACAUGAGUAACGACAAUGGGUGUGAAAAACACCCACGCCGAAAGACCAAGGGUUCCUGCGCAACGUUAAUCGACGCAGGGUUAGUCGGUUCCUAAGGCGAGGCUGAAAAGCGUAGUCGAUGGGAAACAGGUUAAUAUUCCUGUACUUCUGGUUACUGCGAUGGAGGGACGGAGAAGGCUAGGCCAGCUUGGCGUUGGUUGUCCAAGUUUAAGGUGGUAGGCUGAAAUCUUAGGUAAAUCCGGGGUUUCAAGGCCGAGAGCUGAUGACGAGUCGUCUUUUAGAUGACGAAGUGGUUGAUGCCAUGCUUCCAAGAAAAGCUUCUAAGCUUCAGGUAACCAGGAACCGUACCCCAAACCGACACAGGUGGUCGGGUAGAGAAUACCAAGGCGCUUGAGAGAACUCGGGUGAAGGAACUAGGCAAAAUGGCACCGUAACUUCGGGAGAAGGUGCGCCGGCUAGGGUGAAGGAUUUACUCCGUAAGCUCUGGCUGGUCGAAGAUACCAGGCCGCUGCGACUGUUUAUUAAAAACACAGCACUCUGCAAACACGAAAGUGGACGUAUAGGGUGUGACGCCUGCCCGGUGCCGGAAGGUUAAUUGAUGGGGUUAGCGCAAGCGAAGCUCUUGAUCGAAGCCCCGGUAAACGGCGGCCGUAACUAUAACGGUCCUAAGGUAGCGAAAUUCCUUGUCGGGUAAGUUCCGACCUGCACGAAUGGCGUAACGAUGGCGGCGCUGUCUCCACCCGAGACUCAGUGAAAUUGAAAUCGCUGUGAAGAUGCAGUGUAUCCGCGGCUAGACGGAAAGACCCCGUGAACCUUUACUGUAGCUUUGCACUGGACUUUGAGCCUGCUUGUGUAGGAUAGGUGGGAGGCUUUGAAGCGUGGACGCCAGUUCGCGUGGAGCCAUCCUUGAAAUACCACCCUGGCAUGCUUGAGGUUCUAACUCUGGUCCGUGAUCCGGAUCGAGGACAGUGUAUGGUGGGCAGUUUGACUGGGGCGGUCUCCUCCUAAAGAGUAACGGAGGAGUACGAAGGUGCGCUCAGACCGGUCGGAAAUCGGUCGCAGAGUAUAAAGGCAAAAGCGCGCUUGACUGCGAGACAGACACGUCGAGCAGGUACGAAAGUAGGUCUUAGUGAUCCGGUGGUUCUGUAUGGAAGGGCCAUCGCUCAACGGAUAAAAGGUACUCCGGGGAUAACAGGCUGAUACCGCCCAAGAGUUCAUAUCGACGGCGGUGUUUGGCACCUCGAUGUCGGCUCAUCACAUCCUGGGGCUGAAGCCGGUCCCAAGGGUAUGGCUGUUCGCCAUUUAAAGUGGUACGCGAGCUGGGUUUAGAACGUCGUGAGACAGUUCGGUCCCUAUCUGCCGUGGACGUUUGAGAUUUGAGAGGGGCUGCUCCUAGUACGAGAGGACCGGAGUGGACGAACCUCUGGUGUUCCGGUUGUCACGCCAGUGGCAUUGCCGA